UGCAAUGGGACAACAGCCAGGGAGAGCACCUGAGCAGCAGAACACUUCGGUAGCAGUGAGAAAAGUCAAUACAGGUUCUUAUAGCACAGCAGCACUCAGCAGGCUCAUCGCUUUCUCUGACCUACGGUGCUGACAUCCAAACUGAAAAGACUCCAUUUAAGUGUCAGAGUGGUAGGAGAAAUGUAGGAUGAGGCAUCUUAUGCAUCAGGUGACUCUAGGAGUGCAUUAGAGAGGCAAGAACUGACUCCAUUUCUCCUGUACUUGGUCACAUGUGCAAGCCAUGAGACUGUGCUUUCAGAAAUAGUUGGGAGCAAGCAGCCUCUGUCAGGGAGAUGAGUCCAAUUCAGGGUGCACGCAGAUUGAUGCCAUUUUGUCAGAGCUGCACCUGCUCGUGCCAGCUCUGAGGGUGGCCGAGGGCCAGACAGCACUUUGUUAAUCAAACAGGAGAUAUGGAAGUGAGUUUGAUUAAAGCUGAGAGACAACAUGUGGGGGAACAGUGGGAGGAACCACUCUGAGCCAGUGGAAAAGAAAUCUGCUGGAAAAAAAAUGAUGGGGAAGGAGUUCUGCUGUUUGAAUGGAUGCAAGUAAUAAGAAAAGAAAAGCUCAGAGAAGGCUGCAGGUCUUUGGGAGACGUGAUGGUUAGGGACAGCAGCAGGAGAACAGCCAAAUCUUCUUGUCGUAACAUUUCAGACCUGCUAUGGGCAAGCAUCGCAGCAACUUUUGUUAAGCAUGAUAAUGCUAAAUCCCAAAGACUUUGCCCAGCAGCUUAGGGGGGGCACGGAGAAUAAAUGAGGUCUGAUUCUGGGACGUGCAGGCUGCUGUCUCUUGUGUGCCGAAGAUCCUCCUAAACCAAGAGUUCAGGAUUUGACUCUAUGCUGUGCAGUGCUCUCCGUGAACGGCUUAUGCUGGAUUAUCACUGUGCCCUGGGCUCUGCUCCUAGGUGAUCCUGCAGGGAACUGGCAGCCUGGAGACUCAAAGGGGAUGGGGACCUUGCCUGGGUGGCAGGGCCAGAGCUGACUGGGUGGCUGUGCAGUUUGUCAGGCUCUGUGAUGACCGAGUCUCUGCACCCAAGGUUGUGCUGCAAGAAGCCUGCCUUACAGCCUUCCAGGACAUGGGGAGGGGUGGGGACUGCUGGGGUUUCUAUGGGACUGCCCUGCAGGAAUGUGCCUGAUGGGGCAGCUGCCUUCCAGCAGCUCCAGCACUGCGCCUGCAGUUUGUGUGAUCUGAGCAGCGGAGCUGGCGGAGCCAGCACAGUGUGAUGGGCUUUGCUGCAGUCUCCUAAAAGGAAAAUGGCUUUUUUCUUUAAGAGACUCUUGGCUGUGACAUUGACCCUCAAAAUAGUUUUGGUUGUCCUUUUAGUGAGACAUAUUCCCUCUGGUUGCUGAGAUGAUUGUAAGAUGGUAGAUGAGCAGUGGGUGAGGGAGGACACUCUGAAUGGACUGAGAGAAUAGCCACCUAACCUUCCUCUUCUUCUCAGGAUGUGCUUCAUUAAAGCCAUUAGACUUAGACAAGGGAAAAUAUAGUUGGGGAGGGGGAAUGCAAACUGCAUCAGAGGUUUGGGCAAACCAUUUGAGACCCAAUAUGAUUGAGUCACACUGAAGGGAGGUAAGAUUCUGUCACGCGUGCCCGCUGUAGUGAGUAUGAACAAACCCAGAACAGCUGGCUGUAGCAUAUGGAGCAUCCAGAAGGGAACAAAGCUGAAAUAAUUCCCUUUCCUCUGCUCUUUGCUUAUCCUGGCCCUGAUUCAGGAGAGCAUUGGGGAUCAUUCUCAACUUUAGGACUGCACAGAUUUCCAUGAUAUUGAGUUUCAGUUUUACUACUGGCUUAAUGAAUUUUCUGUACAGGUGCUUGUGCCGGAGUACCGUUGGGGUACAGCAUCCCUUGAUCACAGAGCACAGAAAGGCUUUGGCUCCACAGUGAGCACUGUCACCUCUGUGAAGCUCAGAAGGAAUACCAGCCUGCAGGUGUUCACCUUGGAUCUGGGCAGGAGCUGGUCUGGAGAUAGGUCUUUAUGAAGAAGGCAGGAAGAAAUAAGAGAUGGAUCCAUUUUGUCACUCACUGUUGGUGAAUGGACCGCUUCUGGGCUGCUGGUAUUUUACUUUCCCUUAGAGCAGAUCAGGUUUUAGGUUUUGAAAAGAAACAGCUUCCCUCAUCUGCUUGCCCCACACAUGGAAAUGGCUGCUCAGGAAACUCAAAGGUGGCAGGUUUGCCUGAGCCUUCAGAAUCGGGUAGAAAUGUUUUACUCUUUCAUACUCUUUUCCCAUCUCCAUGAGGAGACACGGGGGCUGAAGGGCACGAGUGGGUAAUUGAGUCCCAUUGCCAGCACUGCUGUAGCAGCACAGUGACAACAGAAAGGAGUUGUGGCAUAAGCAACAUAUAUACAUGUGUGCCUGUGUAUAAAAACAUGAACGUGGCAUAAGAGAUCUCAGUUGUCAUUUCUGGCUUUAAUCCCCGAGAGGCUGGUUAUCAGCUGCUCUUAGCCAGUGAUGCAGUGAUGGAGUCAGGCGCUGUCUGUCCAAAACCAGUAAAAGGAACAGAGGAAUUCACAGGAAAGCUGCUUGCUUCUUGUAAAAACCAUUCUCUGUGUGUGCACGUAUGUGUGUGCAUAGGUUUUGCACUUGCCUCAGCAUUUUUGGGUGGGCUGUGAAGCAAAUUUCCUAAGCAGUCGGCACCUCCUGCUAUGCAAAGGCUGGCCUGAACAUUUGUUAGGUUAGUGAAUUCAUCUUCGUGGUACCCUUUCAGCAAAUGCCUCUUUUUAGAUGAAAAGGUUUAUUUGUGAUUUGCAGAACUCUUUCAAUCUGUUGGCUCCUCUGAUAUCCUAAACCUAUUAGUUCACCAUCCAUCCACAAAAUUUUCCAGGAGAAAGCAGGCGAGACAAGAACUGAAUUUCUAAUAGAAGAAAAGAAACGAAACAAACAAAAAAACCCCAACAACAAGCAGGAACCAAAACAAAAUCAGCAAAGCAAAAUCCUGCCCAAAGGUCUUGGGCUCCAUUUUGGACACAGUAAGAAAGCGUAUAGAAAUACAGCUGUGCUUCUCCCUCCUCCCCUGCACCUCCCUUUUAAGCAGAGCAUACCUAAUCACUGCCAGGCUCCCAGUGGCUGUACUGGGAUUGUACUCCCUAAGCAGCUUGUGAGCCCACGGGCAGAGCUCACUGGAGAAGCAGCCUGAAAUGAGCUGGAGCAGCUGUAUUGCACGGUCAUUUAUAGCUGGUAAGUGCUGCUGCUUGGGACCCAGUGACCAUGGCCCCUAGGUCUCUUUGUGCUGUUGUUCAAAAGGCCAAAAGAUGGGAGAAGAAACAGAGAACUGGGAACAGGAAAGAAUUUUUCAGCAAACCUCAGCCAUGGCAUUACAACAUCUUUCCCAGCUCGUAGGCAGAAGCAAAGCAAAGCCUGCUAUUCUCAAAGGUGCGUUUCAGCUCUAUUCAAAUAGUCAUUCUACACCAGGUUUUUUUAAUAUGGUCUCCAUAAGUCUUUAACAUUAACAUUAAAAAGAUAACGAGAACAGGCAAACAGACGAAUCAUGAUGCCUAGUGCCCUGCUUCCUCAUUGAUAGAAGAUGGGAGCAGCCCCCCUGCAAGAGUUUGACUUUCCACACUGCUGGCCAUUUACAUUUUCAUUUAUGAAAAGGAGGAAAAAUGAGCUGCCACCACAGCACCUAAGCAUAAUGGAAAGGAAAAGCCUUGGUGCAUUCCGCACGAGGCUGUGCUGUCAGGCUGUGCAAGCAGGUCAUAAUGUGAUUCCUUUCGUUACGGCCCUAAGCCUGCCUUCCAGUUUGAUCACGGAGCUCAGAAAUAUUUUUGCGUUUGAUAAUGUCCUUGUUCUGCUCGACCACAACUUUCUGCUUUGUACUAUUUUCCUUUUGCAGUGUUUUUGGGGAUAGAGCAACCCUCUCCCUGCCAGCGCUGCUUGCAUUGUUCCUGUUAAUAAUUACCUUCAUCACAGUAGUUAUUAGAGGCCCCAACUGCUGCAGACUCGAUGCAUGCACGAGGCAGUCUCUGCCUGAGGAGCUUAAGGUCUAAAUAGGCAAGGCAGAUAGUGGAAGUGUUAUCAGUCUUAUUUUUACAGAGAGCUUAAAUGACCUGCCGAAGGUCACACAGAGAGUCUGUGGUGAAAUCAUGACUGGAAUACAGAUCUUCUAUGUUUUAUUCAAGCAUCUAACCCAGGUUCCUGGCUAAGGAGGGCGUUUGUGAGGAGGCUGCCUGUGUACACGUGGGCCUGGGGGCAAUUCUGGGUCUCGUGCUGGAUUUGCACGUGCCCUACUGGUUCAAGCACAUCUGUGAGGAGCUUCAGGUGUUGUAGCAAAUGCAUGGGUGGCAACAGCAGCUACACAUGCACAAGAUGUGUGCUCACCUGGGAUGCAUGUCUCGGUGUAGUUCAAGGACAGAGCUCUCAACUAGGUGGCAGAAAGCGUUGGUGUUCUUACGGAAGUGUUCACUAUUCCUGACUGUGCUACAAGAACAGAAUCACAGAAUCAUCAAGCUCGGAAGAGACCACUAAGAUCAUCUAGUCCAACUCUCGACCUGCCCCUGCCAUGCCCACUGACCACAUCCCUCAGUGCCACUUCUUCGUGUUUCUUGAACACCUCCAGGGCUGGUGACCCAGGGAAACACUUGUGACACUCAAGAGAUGGUGGUCGAGCUGCUUUUGGGUUGAUGAAGAGUGCAGUCCAACGAUGGCUGUGCCUAGUGGUAUGGGUCUUGAUGCUCAGAAGCAGAGCUCUGCCAUUAAAAAGCUUUUAGCACGCUGCGGAAGGCCGAUUCCCAGCCAUCUGGUGCCUCACCAGCUGCUCUCGGUGCUGGAUGAAACUUAUCUCAAUUCAGGAACCCGGGCCUCAGGCAGUGGGGUGGAAGGAGCAUCGCUGGCCUCACAUGUGCUGUCUGCGGGACACGCACCCAGACUGGUGCAGACGUUGGAAAUUGGAUGAACCUCUUGUGGUAUCUCCCAGUAUGGUCAGCAUGGCCAGGGCAUUUCCCCAGCGGUGCAGUGGAGGAGGACUUGGAUCAUCCCAUGAUGUGGCUCAUCUAGAGAAGCUUCUGAGACAUCCUUCCUUCAACAAACCAUGCCACUGGGGCACCUGGGCAGCAGUGAGUGGCAGCCUUGCUGACAGGAAAAAGCAGCUGUCUGGAAGACUGGUUCCCAUGGAAAGCAAGGAAGCUCCCCGGCCGUGCCUGUUGUGCAUGUUGAGGAGAUGCAUCACCAAAGGAUUACAAUACAACUGCUGUGAGCUGGGAAGCAAAGCAGGCCAGGACUAGAAGCUGCCAUGGACAGAGAGGCACAUGAUGAAGUCUCCAGAGCUGCCUGCUGCUGGGACCCACAGCCACCAUCCUGCACCCUGCUCUGGGCACCUGGAGACCCCCAGCACUGCCCGAGCCCACCAGGAAACAGCCCAGAAACCUCAGGUGCAGUGGGGGGGACACUGUACUUUGUUGAGGUUCUGAUCCUCUGAUCCUUGGCUCAGCUGAGUGCAUUGUUUUAAAGGGAAAGAGGAAAAAUCCCCUUCACAGGGCAAUAUUUCUUUAGUACCUUGGUAAUGAAGGUGGAUUGGGAAAUGAACCAUUCCCCAUUACAGUGGGACCUAACUGCACAGCCCAUGCUUUCCAGUUAAAAUUUGAUUGCCUUGAAUCCUGAAGAUUAUGGAAAAUAAGAAAAAGGCCCAGUAAAAUUUAUGGCUUUUAAUCAUAAAGCGGUAGAAUCACAGUAAAUCUAUCAUAAGCAAGCAGAUAGGGACCCAGAAAAAAGAAAGGGAAGCCAUAGGCCUGGUGCUGGGGUCCUGAGGGGUGGAGCAGGGCUACAGCCCCAUUUCCUCCAGGAUGUUCAUCCCACACGUGCAGGGCCCUUCUGUGCCCGUCCUGCAGAGCUGGGUGCUGCAGGCCGCAGGGCAUAGCUUAGCAGACAGCUGGGCAGGGAUAGGGGGCACGUGGGUAGUGAGCAGUGGUGAGGUGGGAGCAGGGGAAGGGGCAGGAUGGGGGAGACCACCACUCCCAUUUUUAUGAAAGAGAGACCUGAAUAACUACAGACUGGGAAGAUCAUGGAGAAGAUCCUCCUGGAAGAGAUGUUAAGGCAAAUGAGGGAUGAGGAGGUGAUCUGAGACAGCUAGUGUGGCUUAACCAAGGGCAGAUUGUGCCUGAACCAUCUGUUGGUCUUCUGUGAUGGAAUGAUGGCACCGGUGUACAAAAACUGAACAGCAGUGUGCUCCUGCAGCCCAAAAGGCCAACAGUAUCCUGGGCUGCAUCAGCAGGGCAGUGGCAGCAGGCAGGGAGAGGACUGUCCUCCUCUAUUCUGCUCUUGUAAGGCCCCACCUGGAGUACUGCGUCCAGACCUGGGGCCCCCAGCACAAGCGGGAUGUGGAGCAUCCCCUCCAUGCACAGGGUGCAGGAUGGGACCCAUCAAGGGGAGGGCUGAGGAAUGUGUGUGCCAAGAGGGGAGCGAGGAGAGCAGUGACAGAGGAAUGGCAGCAGGGUGAGAGGUGCACAGAGGGUGAGCGAUAAGGAGGAAAAAGGAGAAGGUAAAGGAUUGUCUGAAGGAGAGAUAAGAGAGGAGGGCAGUUAGCGGGGACAGAGCAAGAGGAGGAGCGAUAAGGCCUGAUAGAAAUGGGAAGGCCAUGGAGAGCUGGGCGGCUCCUCACGAGCAGCCUCCCCUCCAUGCUCUAAGCACGUCUCUUCCCGUUUUUUAAGCUGUUUUAUAAAUCUUUGCAUUUAUCCUUAUUGAAAUAAAUAAAAAGUGAAAAGCAUCUGUCUGUGCCUCACAGCCCGUGGUUACCUGACGAGCAGCGCUGGCAGUCAGCCCCUGCUCUCACCUGGUUAAACUGCAAUAGAAACACGCCGUAAAUUUCAGCAAAGGAGAGGAAGAGUUUAUUCUAUUUUUUUUUUUCUUCCCCAUCUUUAUGGCCAUGGAAAUUGCUGAUCUGAGAUGCUGGCCCUUCUAAAAUGCUUUUCUUCUGCUCCAUCCAUCUGCUUUAAUCACCCGGUGGCUGAAAAAAAAGAAAUGAUCCAGCUCACAAAGCAAGGAAGAUAAAAAAGUGGCGGUGGAUAGCGCAGUGCCAGGUGGGCAGCUAACGAGAGACGGGCUGUGCGGGUCGGGGCUGGGGGUGGCUGUUCUGGGGACACCCCCAGCCGAGUGCUCAGGGUGCUCGGGUGCCUGGGAGGAGGCAGAGUGCUGCAGGACCUUGCAUAGAACAGAAAUAAUAUUCUCUCUUCUUUGCUAACGCUUCCUUUUAAGACCCGAUUCCUCCCUUUGAUUGCUAGGAUACUGCUGCGCGCUGCAAAUACCUUGCUAGACUUGCUUGUUAGUAUUAUUAUUAUUUUUUAAAUCUCUCUGUGUUGAAUUAGCUCUUUUAAUUACAGCAUUAAAAAAAAGGAUAACUGGAGUCAAUUAAAAAGCUCUUUCAGACCAGCAGCGUUAAUAGCUGCCCAGGAACACGGGAACCCCUCCACCCCUCCGCCGGCUGCUGAGCUGCUGACUGAGUCGUCGUCAUCCCAGCAGAGAGCUCAGGCAGAGGAGUGUGCACACCCCGUGUGGGUCAGAGCACGGCCCACGGUGGUGCUGGGCACAGCUCCUCCCGAGGGCUGAUCUCCAGGGAGCACCACCGGGUUCCUCCAUUGGGCGCCGUGGCACACGGAGCUGCAGGCACCUCUGGUUCGUUACUGCGGGUUCACACCUAGAUCACUGCAAAUGGUGGCUAAGUGCUGCUGGGAGGGAGAGCCAGCAAAACGCCGUUGUCCUUUGGCUCUUUUGAAAAGCAACACGAAAAGCAAAUGGCUUUAAAAAUAGUUUGGUUUCAAAACUGAAAAGGAAGGAUGGGUUGGAGACGGUGAGAAACUAAAACAUGAAGCUCCUGAAACCUGCUGUGGAGAGAGAAAUGCAAAAUGCUUUGUUUCAAGGUGAAUGGAAAGCUGAAACCAGCAAAAAAUCCCUCUUCCCAUGAGCACAGAUGUUUCGGGUUGUUUUUCCUAGAUUAGCACAUCGCUGGAAGAAAAGAAAAUCCAUUCUUUUCUCUGCCGGCACUCCAGGUUCCUGUUGCUUAUUUUUUAUCAUGUUGUAGUGACUUUGAUCCCCAAAGACUCCUUAAGUGCUUUACAAGCCAAGCAUGCAAAUCUGGGCUCAUCCCCCAAGGUGCUGCCAAUGCUAUAGAAUCACAGAAUCAUUAAGGUUGGAAAAGACCUCUAAGAUCCCCCAGUCCAACCCCAACCCAUCCCACCGUGCCCACUGACCACGUCCCUCAGUGCCACAUCUACACGGUUCUGGAGCACCUCCAGGGUGAGCCCACCACCUCCCUGGGCAGCCUGUUUCAAUACAUCACCACUCCUUCUGAGAAGAAAUUUUUCCUAACAUCCAUCCCCCAUGGUGAUAGGUGACCCAGAGGAGCAUCAGGGCACCCUGCCCCACCUCCCUGCUGCAGCCCGGGGCCUGUUCCCCUCUGGCUCAGGCAGCAUGUCUGUGUCUGUGUGUAUUUACAUAUGUGUGUAAUUUCAGAUUUCCAGACGAGCCUGAAAGCCACAUUCCCUUGGACGUGCCUGAGGAUGCUUGCAAGUCUGACUGCCUGCUGCCAUGUGCCCAAAUCCUCCGUGAGAGUCAUUGCAGAAUUAUAUCUGACACCAGAGUCCAUCAGACAAAGUCCUUACAAACACAGGAGUCCUGAAGACAUCGGCUGAAUGUUUUCCUGGUAUAAAGAAGAAGAGGAGGAGAAAGAGGUGGUGACGGUGUGGGUGCAGAGAGUUUGGACCGGGGCGGAGGGCGUGGUGGAAGGAGAGAGGUCGGUAUGUUUGUACCAAUGUUUUUAAAUUAUUUUUAUUUGUUCAUAUGUUCUCUUUAAAAAAAAAAAAAAACAAAAAACAAAAAACCAAAACUAUUUGCAAA